UUAAAUAUACAAGACCCAGACAAAUAUCUUCACUCUCAAUACAAGUCACGCACACACACACUUCUGAGAAUAAUCUCCACAAAUCAAACCUCACAACCCAGCCAAACAUCAUCUUCUCCAUCAUUUCUUUCCCUUCUUCUUUUUACAGAACCCUAAGGCACGCUUUCACCUAUAAACAAGCCCCUGUUACACUCUCGAUCCCUCUCUCUCUCUCUCUCUCUCUCUCUCUCUCUCUCUCUCUUUCUCUCGAUGAUUCUGACCGACGGCCGGGUUCACCGUCGGCACUCCGGCGAGCCUCCCGGUCGGGUGCUCUGACUCCCCCACACCCCUCCUGUUCCUCUUUUUCCAGUGAAACACCAUCUUUCAGCGACUCUCUCCCUCUCCACCUACUGGAUACAAGGACCGGAGCCGGAACCGGCAAUGAUGCCGGUGGUUUUUUCUGUCAGCGCAACCGCCCCCCCCCCUCUGGUAACUGUCGUAUGACGGGGAUAAGGUCGAGAGGUGGAGAUAGAGCCGACGAGAAGAGAGAGAGAAAGGCGGAGGUAGUGGCGGCACCGUCGCUACGGCAGCGGUGACAGUGGAUUUUGACAAGGUUUCAUGCACCAGGUCAGGUUCAGGCGACCACGGUUCAACUCGGUUCGGGUCAAGAUACAAGUUCGGUUAACAAAAGCUAGAUUUGGUUUGGUUUAACUCGGUUUGACCAAACCGAGUCAACUCAGCGUUUGGACUAGCUCAGUUUCGGGCCAACUCAGUUUGGAGCGGGUUAACUGAGUUCGGGUGCAGUCAACAAUUCUGGUCAACUAGGUCAACCCGGUUGACUCGGCCGACGCAACUUUUCGACACGAAGAUUUGGUUGCAUUUCAAAGUCGAGGCAUUUUUGGAAUAGGAGAACCAUUGGAGAUACGAGUACUUAGUGGCCUUCAAUUUCUAGAAAGUCUUUGCUUAUUUGCUUCCACUAUGACCAGUCCAGUCACGCCAACUCUGAUAAAUUCGUGGUGUGAUAGAUUGGUAUCAGAGUUAUAGGUUACUACGAAUAAGGUUUUCUGUAGGAAUACCUAGGCUCUAACCUCACUUUUCUCUGGGACUCAGACUAUUAAGACGUUGAAUACCUACAGAACGCCUAGUACUCGAGUAUGGUCUUCAACCGUUGCCGAAAAACAAACAGUCAAAAUUUUGCUUUCAAACAUACGCUAUUGUGGUGUUUCACACACGGUGCAUAAAGCAAUUACAUACAGUACACAAAACUCUGAGAGUUUAGGAAACAUGCAUUUAAGACCUUCGAAAACUUAUGUUGGAGUUCAUUAAAGGUCAUCACAUAGGAACCGCGAAUAUUAACUCGGGCACACACUAUUAUCCAUAUUGUCUAUGAUAUUUUAACUUCCCGAGCAGGCAGCCUAUGCAUAACAAAACGCUAGUGCACAGGUAUACGUGAAACCUAAGCUAUACAUCAACGGAGGUUGAAGUACGACACAUACGACUAUCAAGGCGAGGCCUUUGAAAAGACACGAUGACGUAAUUCAAUGACCACGCUAGAUUCCUGUAAGCAGGAGAACUAUCGAUCAGGAAACGGCGGUUUGGCACGUGGUCCUGCAACGACAUGAAUCACUCUAAGGAGAAGACGUAUAUCUCUGCAUCCCCCUAUUUCAGUUAACGACGAACACGUUAUGUUCGACAUUCCAUGGUAAUGUCACCUAACAACCGGACAUCACAUGCAACCCCAGGUAAAGUCCUCAAAUUUCUUUUAUUGAAAUUUCGACUUUCACAUUUACUGAGUAGAUUUUCGUAUCUCUACUCCUCUUAAUGGUCAUUGUGUCACGAUCAUUUCUUUCAGUAUAGCGAACACUAAUUGCUUCAUUUCUUGAAAAUUUAUAUGUUACGCAUGCAUCGUUUGUUAUGCAUGUGGUUUCAUUUCGAAUAAGCGUUUCAUUAAAGUUCAAAUAUUAUUUCGCUACAUCUAAUUAUUUAUUUGUGAUUCGACUGGCCCACAUUAUUGUAACUGUUGGCUCCUUUGUUAUCAAGUCAACACAUUUUCUUGAAAUUUCUCUUAUUUUCAAGUUAUAUACAAGGUUUUUCAUUGUGACCAUGCCGAAAGUUUUCUUGUCGAUACAUGUAUUUAUUGUCGGAUUGCGCUAAAACCAAGUUCAAUUGUUUGAGCUUAGCCAUUACACAUAUUCAAUUCAGAGCAUCAUAUGAUGUAUUGGGAGCAUCAUAUCCAAAAUUCGUUUUAACAAGUGUUUCAUUUAUUCCGAGUCGAAGUAAACUUGUUUGGCAUUCGACUCCACUGAAUUGUUUGUUGAUUUCGACACCUUGUAGCGGUGUUUUCACUUAUUUGAAGCUUGCGCUAAACUCGUUUACAUAUCUCAUACACGGAUUUAAAUAUUUAUUUAUUGAUUUGUUUUAAAUCCGCUUUGAAUUACCAUAUUAAAGCAGUCUUAACACAAUCGUGUGUUAAGACGAUGGUACACAAAAUUCAUUGCAUAUUCUGGUGUACCUACUAACAGUUCUUUCAACAUCAAUCGAAUAUUUUACGAUAUUUAUUGUUUCUUCAUCUUCGAUCAAAAACAUUAAUUCUUUGAUGUUCCAUCCUCAAUUGAAAAUCUUAUGAUGUCGUUUGAAUCAAAUUUUCAAAUUUGCUUCAUUGUACUUUCGCUUGACUUCAAACACGGUGAAUUGUUUGGUCACCGCUAUUAUUGAAUUGUUUCAUUUAUUGCGACACCUUGUGGCGUCGGUAUGACUUGCAGCUUGCGCUGAUCACGAUCGAGCGUUCCAUGCAAACUAUUACAUUAGAGAUUGUUGAUUCUAAGUUCAUCCAGUGGGUGUUAUUGCUUUUAGAACUUAUUUACACGUUGUAAACGUUCAUAUGGAACUCAAUUGGUCGAAGUUCCUGUUCAUUGUUGGGUCCCUGUUGACUUAGUCACACUAGUGACUGUAUCUAUACGACUUGUUUCCUUUGACAUCGAUUUGCUGAAACACAUUUAUUGUAAACCAUUGGGUCCUUAUUGUUGAGGAAUGUCACUAAAUUCACAUGAUUCGGAUAAGUCUUGUUUCGAUUACGCGGUCAUUCACUUUGUUAUUAUUCGGACUUACCUGCGAACAACACAAUUCUGAGGAGAUAACAUAGUCUAAAUUUCGAGGACGAAAUUUCUGUAACAGGGGAGAAUGUGACAACCGGUGAUUUAUAGCACCUAAUUACGUAAUUAACAGAUAAUCAACGUGAUAAUAAAUAGAUUUUACAACGCAAAUUAACUUAAUUAGGCCUUUGGAGUGCCAAGGAACGUCUAUCCGACUUUACAGUGCGCGAACGGUGGUUUACGAAAAAAUCUGCAGAAUAUUGCGCAACAACGAACUGAUACCGUGCGAAAUACUGACAACGCCAACAAAUAUUAAAUUUUUACGACAUAUCCUAGCUUCGUAAUUAAAUUUUAGUAACCGUGUUCGAAAACUGAUCGAAAAACGGAUUAAAGACGAUACAUGAAGUAUUUUACGCGCUUUUUACGCAACUGACGACUAAACGCACAAACAACGACUACCGACCGUAUUUUUGUGUAUUUUAAUUUUUGACGUUAAAAGGAGUUCAGGAUUUGACUACAGGUCUCGUAUGAAUUACGGGCCACUUGCACACGAGAUGGGCUUGUGGGCCCUGGGCCCAAGCCCAAAACCCGCAAGCCUAAACCUGCACAUAAUAUAUUAGAACCCUAACAAGAUCUUGCAAAAUCCUAUAAGAUCUGCUCAAAAUAUCAACAAGAUCUAUACAAGAUCUACAAAUCUUAUCAAAUCUAUAAAAAAAAUCUCUAACAAGAUUCAUCAAAUCACUACAAAUCUUUACAAGAUAUCUUGUCUCAAAAAUUAAGACACUAUCCUCCUUUAAAUAUACAAGACCCAGACAAAUAUCUUCACUCUCAAUACAACUCAUGCACACACACACUUCUGAGAAUAAUCUCCACAAAUCAAACCUCACAACCCAGCCAAACAUCAUCUUCUCCAUCAUUUCUUUCCCUUCUUCUUUUUACAGAACCCUAAGGCACACUUUCACCUAUAAACAAACCCCCGUUACACUCUUGAUCCCUCUCUCUCUCUCUCGAUGAUUCUGACCGACGGCCGGGUUCACCAUCGGCGCUCCGGCGAGCCUCCUAGUCGGGUGCUCCGACUCCCCCACACCCCUCCUAUUCCUCUUUUUCCGGUGAAACACCAUCUCUCAGCGACUCUCUCCCUCUCAACCUACUGGAUACAAGGACCGGAGCCGGAACUGGCAAUGAUGUCGGUGGUUCUUUCUGUCGGCGGAACCCCCCCCCCCCCCCCUCUGGUGACUGUCGUACGACGGGGAUAAGGUCGAGAGGUGGAGAUAGAGCCGAUGAGAAGAGAGAGAAAGGCUGAGGUAGCUGCGGCGCUGUCGCUACGGCAGCGGUAACAGUGGAUUUUGGCAAGGUUUCACGCACCGGGUCAGGUUCAGGCGACCACGGUUCAACUCGGUUCGGUUCAAGAUACAAGUUCAGUUAACAAAAGCUAGAUUUGGUUUGGUUUAACUCGGUUCGACUCGGUCAAACCGAGUCAACUCAGUGUUUGGACUAGCUCAGUUUCGGGCCAACUCAGUUUGGAGCGGGUCAACUCACUUCGGGUGCAGUCAACAAUUCGGGUCAACUCGGUCAACCCGGUUGACUCGGCCAACGCAAUUUUUCGACACGAAGAUUUGGUAAAGAUUAGCGGCGCAUUUAAUAUUUACGUUAUAUAUUUUUAGUUUUAAUCUCACGUGACUAACGAGCUUGAACCGAAUGAAGUGAAAUUAUUAGUUAAAACAUACUUGGUUUUAUUCGCAAUCUUGUCUACAUAAAUUGGUUAUACUAAAUAAUAGUGAAUUAUUGAUUGAA